CCGGGGUCCUCCUUCCCUGCAGCUGCGUGCGGCGGAGGGUCAUUGAUGUUCAUCAUAACGCCCCAUCCAUGGAAGGAUCCUGAGGGGUCUUUGGAUGUCAAAAUUAAAUGAUUAAUUUUAAUGUCAAUUUA